GGACUUGCCAUUUAAACAAUUUGAAAUUCUAACUGAUAUAUAAUGUUCAAUUGGUCAUCUUAAAAAAAAAAAAAAAACAAGAAGACAAAGAACCCCCACAUGAUUAUUCAUCUAUGAUCUACAAUAAAUGCUUCAUGUAGAUUCAUAUUUUGUUUCAUUUUUGUUUGGUUGGCUUUUUUCCUUAUUUACUGCAGAUGCUGAGAAAUAACUGAUGAUAGUGGAUGAUACAUGUAGCAGAUAAAUAGCAUGAGUCAAAAGGAAUAUACAAUAAAGACUCGAAAAUCUUCGAGAAAAAGCAAAGCUGAUGACAGAUUCUUUGAUGAAGACCCCCCAGGUUUCAUUGUGAAGCAUUUGCAAGAGAAAGGAAUAUACAAUAAAGACUCGAAAAUCUUCGAGAAAAAGCAAAGCUGAUGACAGAUUCUUUGAUGAAGACCCCCCAGGUUUCAUUGUGAAGCAUUUGCAAGAGAAAGGAAUAUACAAUAAAGACUCGAAAAUCUUCGAGAAAAAGCAAAGCUGAUGACAGAUUCUUUGAUGAAGACCCCCCAGGUUUCAUUGUGAAGCAUUUGCAAGAGAAAGGAAGAGCUGUUUUCUCUACAAGGGUCUUCAAGGCAGGGGAGUUCUUGCUGUGGUAUAAGGGAUAGAUUAUAGAUGGCCUAGAGGCAGAAGCAAGGGAGGAAGUCGAACAAACAGGCUUCCGCUUUUUCUUCAAUUGGAAAGGGAAGAAUAUGUGUUGUGAUGCCUCAAUUGAACCUACCACAGGACCAAGACUGGGCAGACUUGUUAACCAUGGGAGAAAAAAAGAGACAAAUGGAAAAGUUAGAGUGUGUGAAAAUAUACUUGGAGAACCUCAGCUCCUUCUUUUUGCAAGCAGAGACAUCAAUGCAAACGAAGAAAUCUUGUAUGAUUAUGGGGUUGAAAGGAACUUUGUAUUUCCCCCACCAAUCGUCCCUAAAUUACCAGAGAGUAAUUUGAUGCAGACAGCAGGCAGAAAGACUGCAAAAAAUAGUUGCCUCUCCAGGUUGCUAAUAUAUGUCUUUAGAGAUAUUCAAAUCUGUUUAUCUGUUACUUCUCUUAUAUUUUGUUUUGUUAUUUGUAAUUGAAAUCAACUGGUUUGGAAGCUGAACUUGCUUCUUAAAUAAGAAUACCUGAAUACCUUAAUAUAGAUUCACCAUUACUCUACCAGCAGUAUAUAUGUAAAAUAAUAUGUUCAGCUUCCAAACCAGUUGAUUUCAAUUAAAAAUAACAAAACAUACCAGAAUAGAACAGAUUUGAAUAUCUCUACAGACCUAUUAGCAACCAGGACAGGCAACUACCACAGAUGUCGUUGGUAGACUCCCUAUAUACAUGUGCAUUACUGAAUACAUUAUUAUGUAUAUCCAUUCCUUUUUCAAAAAAUAUAAUAUUCUCAUUGUUCUCACCCAAAUAUAUUGAAAAAAAAUGUUAUAACAUCAAUACGUACUCUAUUUCUAAAACAUGAAAAAUUAUAUAAUUUUGAUAAAUCUACAAGUACAUAACAAUAUAUACAUGUAUAUGCAUGGAUGCAAGUAAUGAAUAUAAGUUUGGAGAAAUAUGUGAGGAAAUCAAGCUCAUAUUUGAAGUAUUGUAAAAGGACAGAAAAAAAAAAUUCAUUGAAUCGCAAAUAUGGUAUCGUGUUCAGAGAAAAAAAUUUCUCAAAAAUUAGUUUUGCACUUUAAAACAGUAUUUGCUUCGUUUUGGUGUCAGUUGUUUCUAUGAGUAUUAUUAAGGUACAAAGCCAAAUGUUUUUCACUAAGGCUUUGAAAUUUUAAAUUUGCCAAAGAUUGUUGAAAAAGUAACAUAAUACCUUUACUGUCUAGAUUGAGCAUGUUUCGAUGUACAAUUGUAUCUCACAAAACUAAAGGACUCUAUGUUAUGUCAUUUGUGUACCAACCAACAAAAAUUAUUUUGCUCUUUACGCUAGAGGUUCCUUGUCAUACCACCAAAAAUUAUUUUCCUCUUUAUAUUAGAGGUUCCUUGUCAUACAAUAUUCAAAAUAUGGGAUUCAAAUAUUAUCCUCUAAAGAAAUAGUGCAAGUUAAAUAACACUUUAGAUUACUCCAUGCUGAUUUCCUCACAUAUUUCUCCAAACUUAUAUUCAUGAUAACUUGCAAUUGUGAUGUAUAUUCCUUAUACAUGAAAAUAAAUUCAGCGUCAAGAAAAGUUUGUUGAUGAGUUUGCAUCUGUCUAUGCACAUAUAUUGGUUAUGUAUUUGCAGAUUUAUAAAAAUUACCGCAUUUGACAUGUUUUAGAAAAAUACAUAUUGAUGUAAUAACAUGUCCAGGUUGCUAAUAUGUCUUUAGCGAUAUUCAAAUCUGUUUAUCUAUUACUUCUGUUAUGUUUUGUUUCGUUGUUUUGAAAUCAACUAGUUUGGAAGCUGAACAUACUUCUUAAAUAAGAGAUAACUUGAUAUGUUACAUACAUGUAUAUGCUGUUGGUAGAAUAAUUGUGAAUCUAGUGUUUUGAAAUCUUUAAGUGAUAACAUUUUUCAUGUUCAGGUAUUCUCUAUGUGUACUAUGAUUUUACUGUAUAUGCCCCUAAAUUGGUUUACCCACACUAGUUGAUUUGAUGACAUGAAAAUCAUGGAGGCAUAUUUAUUUUUGAAAGAUGUUGAGAAAUAUCAUAAAUUAAAAAGAAUGUUGGAAAAGUUUGUAUGACAUGAAUACAUGUAUAUGAUUGAUCACAAAUGACAUCUUAGCAACCUUUUCAUGGAUUGUGCUGCCAAACAGUUACACUUCUCACCAUUUGAUUUGUAUAAUUAUGAUAAAUAUGUUUCCAUUUCUUUUUUCAAGAAACUGAUUUCCUCACAUAUUUCUCCAAACUUAUUUUCAUGAUAACUAGCAACUGUGUAAUAUUUUCUUUUGUUGUUUUUAAUUGAAAUCAACUGGUUUGGGAGCUGAACUUGCUGUUUGAAUAAGAACUCGAUAUGGAUAGUUCCAUGGUAAAUUUUGAUACAAAUAAUGGUUACAUUUAAGGAUAAAUGUUUCCAUAAUUUUGUAAUAAUAAGGAUCUACAAAUUACUUUUUCCACACCAUGCACAUGGGCAUAAUAGACGUACACCAUCUAUUGUGAUAAAAAAAUAAAAACAAAGGACAAACAUGUUGGGAUUCUUGAAUAAUUUUAUUUCGGUAACUCGCACUAUGAGUAAAGGACAUGAUGUUCAUUUCAAUAAAAGCCUCUUUUGUGAAAGUCUCAUUCUGCAAACUUGAUAAAAUUUUCCUACCUUGAAUUGAGAGUGGACUAUGAAUUAUGAAUAAAAAGCAAAUUUGAGAGACAAUUAACCUUAAAAUGUAGGGAGCACAUUAUGUUUGUCCAAAUGGCCUGACACAAACUAUUAAUGGCAUCAAACUGUUCUGAUGCUACUGGAUUUUCUUAGAAUCCAGACAAAUGCAUAGUAAUAUAAUGGUUACGUCUGAAACAAAUACUGAGAACCUCAAUUAUUAGAGAACAGGUCAAUUUAAAGCCCCAUGGUCCCAUAUGUGCAAAUCUAUGUUUUUUCGAUGCAUUCAGUGUAUCGUAUAAUGUUUAAUCGGAAAUGUUUAGAUUUACUAUAAGAAGACUGUUAAUUUCAGAUCAUAAUUUUCAUUUACAUUAUUCAAACAUACGAUGACAGUUUGUAAAGCAGAUCUCUAAUUGACUACAUCGUAUGUUUGAAUACUGAAUGCCAAAAUUAGAGAUCGGCAUUAAGAAAUAUACGGUCUUGACAUGAUUAAAUGCAAUAUAGCUGUGGAGAUCGACAGGAAAACUGUGAAUUAUGCUAUGUUAUGUCAUCUUUUUAAUGUUAAGAAUGCUUUACUUUAGUAUGACACGGUUACAUGUAUGCCGCCAGCAGAGUACUAGUGAAUCUUGUGUUUUGAAAUCUUUACAUUUUGUGUUCAAUUGUUGUUACAUCUACUAUGCUUUUACUGCAUGUGUUCCUAAAUAGGUACCCCCACCCCCAAAAAAGGUGAUUUGAUGACAAAUAGAAAACAUGAAACAUAUUUAUUUUUUUAUAGAGUGUGAAAAUCAAACAUUGAAAUAGAAAUUUAGGAAAGUAAAAAAGGUGUUCAAUCAAUAUCUCUCAAAUUUAUCUGUCCUAAAAUCCAUGCAAAAAAGUUGAGAAAUGUGAAAUUGAUUCUUGUUUCUAGUUAUUGUUUUGUUAUAGAAUAAAGUUGAUUUAU